AAUUUUUAAUAUGUACCCAUAAAAAGAUAUUUCUAAUUAUCGAAUUAGCCCGUCUAACGAUUUGCCCCGGUCUCCCCUACAUAAUAAUAAUUCUAGUUCUAGCCAAAGAAAGCCAAAGAGGACGUAUGUAUUAUGAUGUAUUUGUAACGAAAAAUUUGUGUCGAUUUCCAAAAAAAUAAUUUUACCAGAUUAAAAAGCACAGUUUCAGGGAAAAUGAUUUCAACGUUUAAAGUACACUUUUUUGUAUACAUAUAGCAUGCGAUUUAUAACUUCGAUAAAUUAUCAAAUAUUGACAAAAUACUUAUUGUUAAGCAAUGUAUUUUAAAAACUUAAAAUAUAUGUUUUAAACUUAAGAUAUAUUUUUAAAAAAUCCUUUUUUUUAUCUUUCAAAUUAAAAUACUCUUAAAGAGUUAUUAAGUAAUUAUGCAGAAUAGGGGACUCUAUUCCGAUGACACCGACCUUGUUAAGAUCAUGACCUUGAGUGAUUUUCUGAAAGUUUCAGUUGUCGAUUGUCAUUUGUUAAAACAUUAUUAAUAAAAAAGUUUCAUAAAUAGAUUACCUCCUUAAUAAAUAAUAGUAACAGAUGAUAAUAAUAAUAAUAAUUUACCUUUCCAUAGCCAACCUAAUGAUUUUUCCGAUAAUUUUGAUGUUGCAAUGAUCUUGGUCCCUAACAAAGUUAAGGUAAAUCAAGAUUGAUAAUUCUUGGAGCGUAUUAUUUAUUAACAAAACAAUAGUGAAAAGGAAGUCUUAUUAUGUAAUAGGUAUUGUAACAAAUCGCCUUUCCGCUUUCCCCUGGGACUGUCCACCGUUCCAGGCUGUUCGGCCGAAUAACCGCCCGACAGUGAAAAACCGGCACAGGCGCCUAUAAUACUCUUCAAACCGGCGUAGCGCGCGAACACGCAUCCGCGCGUCGAGGAGAUCUCCGCGCGCACCCGCUCGAGAAGCGACCGAAGUGGCGGUCGCUGCCAAUCUCGAGCGGCAGGGAUUCUCCCCAAGCAGAACAACAAGUCAAAAUGACAUCAAAGUGAUUCACAAUUGUGUCAAAAUGACAUCAAAAUGAAUCAUAAUUGAUUGAAAAGUGACUUUUAAUGAUCAUUUUGCAGUCACUUUGACAUCAUUUUGACAUCUUGAUGACUCCCUGUUCUGCUUGGGUCCCUCCGUGACCGCACCGUUCUGUACCCCCGCACCGUCCCUGCCCUCGAGAUUCGGCUAUAUAAGCGCCGCCGCUUCUACAGUCGAGGCUUCUUUCCGUCCAAAUUUCCGUCCGCAAAAGAAGUGCCUCCUAAAGUUAGCCCAAAGUUAAGCGAUCUUAGCUUUUGCCAAGAGAUCUUGGCGACUAGCCAUCCGCCUCCUAGACCGUCGACUUACGGCUCAAGUGAAUCUUGGGCUCCACCGGGAGAUCUUGAUAGUCGGAGCAUUCCUGAUCCGCUCUUCCUGUUCGGCAUUGACUCACGACUCGGGGUGUGGAGUUCUACUCCUCUACCAAGUGAUCUUGGCGUGAGUCGAUUGCCACUGCCGCAUAACAUCGUGGUAUUAAUCGCAGCGCUCCGCGACCGUUUUCGAACAACAGUACAGCUGUACCGCGCGCGCGAUGUCUUUGUCUCCGCGUGCCUGUGGCCGUGGCCACGGCUUUCAACAAAACCACGACAUCGACGCGUAAACAGGUAUUCCGAAUUCCGAGAAACUCGGCUCGGAAUCCCUUGCUUGUACAUAGUCCACGACUUGUAAAUACCGCAUUCGAUAAUUUCCGUCUUUGUCGUCCGCAUUCUAUUUUCCGUUUUCGUCCGUCCGCGCGUUCUGUUUCCGUUCGUCCGUCUGCGCGUUAUAUUUCCGUUGGUCUGUCAGCGCGUAGAAGUAAGUUCUCGUUGCGUCCGUCCGAGCGUCAUCGCCAUUUGUCCGUCCGCGCGUCGCGCCCAGAACGCUACUUGUUUGUACUUUACAGAACUCGCAAUAAACCACGCUUUGUCCACCAUCAACAAACGUCUAGUUCUCUUGGCGACCUCUCCGCGUCCUCGUCCACCGAAGUCACGCCGCCCCGUGAGCGGAAAAGUCAGGUUGUUACAGUAUAAUAUUUAAUACUUUAAGACCAUUGGAGCUGAGUUUUUUAUUCUGUAUAAUUACUAAAUAUUAUUUUAAUAAAAGCAGAAGGAUAUUAAGAGGGAUACGAUAUACAUAUAAAUGAAAUAAAAAUUGACUUUGCAAUUAAAAAAAUAUCUCUUGUUAUUACAGUUAUAAUCCUGCAACUUUUGGAAUCGUCGGCAAAACCGAAACUUAAAUAUCAACAAAUAAUGCACGAAGUAAAAGAAUAUAUUCGUCAAAAGAAGCUUCCGCUAUAUUUGAGAAACAAGCUGAUUUUCUAUUACGAGUAUCGUUAUCAAGAUAGUUUUUUUAAGGAGAAUAUUAUAUCUGACACACUUUCAGGUCAUUUAAAUCAAGAAAUUCUAUUCCAUAAUAGUCAGAGAUUGCUAGAUACUGUGAUUCUUCAUAACUUACCUCGCAAUGUGCUUAGUGAUUUAAUAAGUAAUUUUUUUUCUUCUUAUAUCAAUAAUAAUAGUUGUUGCUAGUAUCAGGUGCGCAACUAAGUUCUCUUUGUCAAUAGAUGGCUCCAGCAGUAAGUGCUGGUUGAUUUAAACAUAUCCAAAACGUCAUGAACCAAGUUUAGACAUAUGGUAAACAAACCGCGUUGACACGUUAGUGAUUUUCUUUUGGUGUCAUAUACUUUUGAUUGUGUGAAAAUGUCUGAUUUUGUGCCAAAUAAUCGUCAUUUGCGGGAAGUGUUGAUUUUCUUACUCCAUUCAAAGAAAACGGUGGCUGAAGCGCAUUGAGAGCUCCAAAAAGUUUACUGCUGAGAUGCUGCUCUAAGUGAAAUAACAUGCCGUGAUUGAUUCCGUCGCUUCAAAGAUGGUGAUUUCGAUGUUGACGACCGUCCGCGUAAAGGAAGGCCAAAAACAUUCGAAGACGCUGAAUUGGAGGCAUUACUCGAUGAGGAUCCGUGCCAAACGCAAGAACAGCUUGCUUCAGCAUUAGGAGUUACCCGCCAAGCCAUUUCCAAGCGAUUGCAUGCCUUGGGAAUGAUUCAAAAGCAAGGAACUUGGGUUCCUAAUGAUUUGAAGCUAAGGGACGUUGAGCGUCGUUUUUUCACCUGUAAACAACUGCUCCAGCGGCAAAAAAUGAAGGGUUUUCUUUAUCGCAUCGUGACAGGUUAUGAAAACUGGAUUUAUUACAGCAACCCAAAGAAAAGAAAGUCAUGGGGAUUGCCCGAUCAUGCUUCUAGGUCAUCGACUCGACCGAAUAUCCACGCUGCGAAAGUUAUGCUGUAUAUUUGGUAGGAUUAGGUCAGUAUUAUUUAUUAUGAGCUGUUGAAACCGAACGAAACCAUCACUGGGGAACGGUAUCGACUUCAAUUGAUGCGACUGAGCCGAGCACUGCGCGAAAAACGGCUACAAUACGAGCUGAGACACGACAAAGUGAUUCUACUGCAUGACAACGUUUGGCCUCAUGUUGUCAAACCCGUUAAAACCUACGUGGAAACGCUCAAAUGGGAAGUAUUACCCCACCCGCCAUAUUCCCCAAAUAUUGCGCCGUCCGAUUAUUACUUGUUCCGUUCGAUGGCACAUGGUCUGGCUGAUCAGCAGUUCCGCUCAUAUGAAGACAUCAAAAAAUAGCUAGAUUCGUGGAUAGCCUCAAAAGACGAACACUUUUAUCGUAACAAUAUUCGAGCUCUGAAGAUGGACAAAAGUUGUAGCUAGCAAUGGGCAAUACUUUGAAUGAUUCAUUUGUAACCAUUUUUUCACAAUAAAGUUGCAUUUUCAUGAAAGAAAACAGCGAGAACUUAGUUGCGCACCUUAUAUAUUAUUAUUACUAUUUUUGUUAGUAUAAUAAUUAUUAUUAUUAUUAUUAUUGUUGUUGUUAUUAGAGGAAAGUUGUUAAUACUGUAAUAGCCUUCCUAAAUCCUUAUUUCUCGGAAACAUGAAAUUACAAUGUAUUAAUCCAUUAAGGCUCAUGGCCAGAUUAAUGAGGUUAGCCAGAAAAUAACAAUUAAAAAUAAGACCGCAGUUUAAAAAGUUCUUUUAAUAUAUAAAGCACGUUGAAAAA